GAUGAACGCUAGCGGGAGGCCUAACAUAUGCAAGCCGAGCGGUAGAGAUCUUUCGGAGAUUUGAGAGCGGCGUACGGGUGAGGAACACGUGUGCAACCUGCCUUUAUCUGGGAGAUAGCCUUUCGAAAGGAAGAUUAAUAUCCCAUAAUAUAUUGAGUGGCAUCACUUAAUAUUGAAAGCUCCGGCGGAUAGAGAUGGGCACGCGCAAGAUUAGAUAGUUGGUGAGGUAACGGCUCACCAAGUCUACGAUCUUUAGGGGGCCUGAGAGGGUGAUCCCCCACACUGGUACUGAGACACGGACCAGACUCCUACGGGAGGCAGCAGUGAGGAAUAUUGGACAAUGGGUGCAAGCCUGAUCCAGCCAUCCCGCGUGAAGGAUUAAGGUCCUAUGGAUUGUAAACUUCUUUUAUACAGGGAUAAACCUCUCCUCGUGAGGAGAGCUGAAGGUACUGUAUGAAUAAGCACCGGCUAACUCCGUGCCAGCCGCCGCGGUAA
rnacentral:rRNA from 1 species